rnacentral:sRNA from 1 species
GAACUUUCUCCAAGUCAAAUCUGUGGCAAACCUUCCAAAAAACGAAGAUUUGUUAAGGUAUUCCACACCCAUAUAAUAUACCCUUCUGCUCUAAGGAUACCCUGUAACAAAGCUUCUGCCGCUUAUUUGCCAGCAAUUAAGUGCGCCGAAAGAGAUGCAGAUACGAUACUCAUUUCAAAUGGCGCCGGCGGAGUAUCUGUGGCUCUGUGUGUGUGUGGUUAUCACUGUCUCAGUGUGUGUGUGUAUGCCUUUUAAUUAGAAACUUGUACAUUUUGCCUAA